rnacentral:rRNA from 1 species
AUUGAACGCUGGCGGCAGGCCUGACACAUGCAAGUCGAACGGUAACAGGAAGAAGCUUGCUUCUUUGCUGACGAGUGGCGGACGGGUGAGUAAUGUCUGGGAAACUGCCUGAUGGAGGGGGAUAACUACUGGAAACGGUAGCUAAUACCGCAUAACGUCGCAAGACCAAAGAGGGGGACCUUCGGGCCUCUUGCCAUCGGAUGUGCCCAGAUGGGAUUAGCUAGUAGGUGGGGUAACGGCUCACCUAGGCGACGAUCCCUAGCUGGUCUGAGAGGAUGACCAGCCACACUGGAACUGUGACACGGUCCAGACUCCUACGGGAGGCAGCAGUGGGGAAUAUUGCACAAUGGGCGCAAGCCUGAUGCAGCCAUGCCGCGUGUAUGAAGAAGGCCUUCGGGUUGUAAAGUACUUUCAGCGGGGAGGAAGGGAGUAAAGUUAAUACCUUUGCUCAUUGACGUUACCCGCAGAAGAAGCACCGGCUAACUCCGUG